rnacentral:lncRNA from 1 species
UGAGUGUGGUCUGAGCCCAAGUCCCUUAUUUAAUUUUGGGCCGGAUCACCCGAUCCGACCCGUCCAUUUGUAAUUAGUAUAAAUGUAGGUAAGAUAUUUUUCUCACCUACCGAGACUCAUUUUCCUCAUUUCAUUUUCUGUAAUAUACUUCUCUCUUCCAGAGAGUUCCUGAAUGCUCUGACUUCUCUAUGCUUUCUCUCUAUAGAAUUUCUAUGGUUUCUCGGUCUAAUCUGAAUGUUUACAUGGUAUCAGAGCCUCGACGACGAUCCGAUCAUGUUUCUGUGUGCUUCGUGGUCUUGGAUGAAGUCUGUUUCGAGGUUUUUGGGGGUGAUUUUUGAGACCUCACGGUCGAUGAAGAUUUCAACCUAUCGGAGACUUUUCUGAGUGUCUCAUCUUGAAUCCGAGUGUAUUUUCUUCUCCUGAACAUUCUGGAAGAUUUUAUGAUGAUUUUGGUUGGUUG